rnacentral:rRNA from 1 species
GCAGUCGAGCGGACAGAUGGGAGCUUGCUCCCUGAUGUUAGCGGCGGACGGGUGAGUAACACGUGGGUAACCUGCCUGUAAGACUGGGAUAACUCCGGGAAACCGGGGCUAAUACCGGAUGGUUGUCUGAACCGCAUGGUUCAGACAUAAAAGGUGGCUUCGGCUACCACUUACAGAUGGACCCGCGGCGCAUUAGCUAGUUGGUGAGGUAACGGCUCACCAAGGCGACGAUGCGUAGCCGACCUGAGAGGGUGAUCGGCCACACUGGGACUGAGACACGGCCCAGACUCCUACGGGAGGCAGCAGUAGGGAAUCUUCCGCAAUGGACGAAAGUCUGACGGAGCAACGCCGCGUGAGUGAUGAAGGUUUUCGGAUCGUAAAGCUCUGUUGUUAGGGAAGAACAAGUGCCGUUCAAAUAGGGCGGCACCUUGACGGUACCUAACCAGAAAGCCACGGCUAACUACGUGCCAGCAGCCGCGGUAAUACGUAGGUGGCAAGCGUUGUCCGGAAUUAUUGGGCGUAAAGGGCUCGCAGGCGGUUUCUUAAGUCUGAUGUGAAAGCCCCCGGCUCAACCGGGGAGGGUCAUUGGAAACUGGGGAACUUGAGUGCAGAAGAGGAGAGUGGAAUUCCACGUGUAGCGGUGAAAUGCGUAGAGAUGUGGAGGAACACCAGUGGCGAAGGCGACUCUCUGGUCUGUAACUGACGCUGAGGGAGCGAAAGCGUGG